CAUUAACUCCUGGUACGGAAC
rnacentral:siRNA from 1 species